CAUUCUGUGUGUGUGUGUGUCACAGGGGUAUAUAUACUCACAGAGUCUGUCUUGGUUCCUCCUAAACUACAUGACAGCUUGCAAAGGGCAGGCUGCUACUAGUCUGUUUCCAGGACCAACCUCUAAAGGUUUCUCUCUGAAAAGAGCUGGGAGGUUCUCCACGGUGCCUGUUUUGGGAGCAGCUGCCUGAGUGUGGGGAAGGAGCUGGGGUGGCUGCCUGGUUGGGCUGGCAAACUACCGUGAGGACUGCAGCAGCGAACCACAAUGCAGGGCAGUGGGAAGCAGCAUUCCUGGUUUCUUCUGUAGGAGCUUUGCUGGGCGGCAGGUCUGCAGGGAGGAAGGCAGCCUUCGCCAUCUAGUGAGCAACGCACACCAUCACCGGCAGCUGCAGCGAAGGAAAGCCCGAUCCAUUGCUCUCCUGGAAAAAAACCCUUUUCUCACCUCUGGAAGAACAUACUAACAUAGCAAGGCUUGCUCAGCCACAGGGAAAGACCCAGGUGUUGGUCUGUCACCAUUAAACCUUCAGUGAUGGGAAAACUAACCCCAGAGAUGUCUCUGUCUGCCCUUCUUCAUGGACUCAGUAGUGGCAGAUCACGAUCGAUGCACA